rnacentral:rRNA from 1 species
AUUGAACGCUGGCGGCAGGCCUAACACAUGCAAGUCGAACGAGUGGCGGACGGGUGAGUAAUGUCUGGGAAACUGCCCGAUGGAGGGGGAUAACUACUGGAAACGGUAGCUAAUACCGCAUACCAUCGGAUGUGCCCAGAUGGGAUUAGCUAGUAGGUGGGGUAAUGGCUCACCUAGGCGACGAUCCCUAGCUGGUUUGAGAGGAUGACCAGCCACACUGGAACUGAGACACGGUCCAGACUCCUACGGGAGGCAGCAGUGGGGAAUAUUGGACAAUGGGCGAAAGCCUGAUGCAGCCAUGCCGCGUGUAUGAAGAAGGCCUUCGGGUUGUAAAGUACUUUCGGCGGGGAGGCGUUACCCGCAGAAGAAGCACCGGCUAACUCCGUGCCAGCAGCCGCGGUAAUAC